rfam:Picea glauca, whole genome shotgun sequence.
AAUAACCAAAUAUAGCGCUUGGGUUAAGAGUCGUGUUCGUAAUUUUUCUUACAUCUCCACUGUCGGGAGCCCAAAUAUCAUAUACACCUAAAAAAUACAAAGCCUUGAGUACUGGAAGAAAAGCACCAACACCUAGCAAGAUUAGGUGAAUACCCAAAAUUGUGGUCAUUUUGUUUCUAUAUUUCCA